CUACGUGCCAGCAGCCGCGGUAAUACGUAGGUGGCAAGCGUUGUCCGGAAUUAUUGGGCGUAAAGCGCGCGCAGGCGGAUUGGUCAGUCUGUCUUAAAAGUUCGGGGCUUAACCCCGUGAUGGGAUGGAAACUGCCAAUCUAGAGUAUCGGAGAGGAAAGUGGAAUUCCUAGUGUAGCGGUGAAAUGCGUAGAUAUUAGGAAGAACACCAGUGGCGAAGGCGACUUUCUGGACGAAAACUGACGCUGAGGCGCGAAAGCCAGGGGAGCGAACGGGAUUAGAUACCCUGGUAGUCCAUGCCGUAAACGUUGGGCACUAGGUGUGGGGGACAUUCCACGUUUUCCGCGCCGUAGCUAACGCAUUAAGUGCCCCGCCUGGGGAGUACGGCCGCAAGGCUAAAACUCAAAGAAAUUGACGGGGGCCCGCACAAGCGGCGGAGCAUGCGGAUUAAUUCGAUGCAACGCGAAGAACCUUACCAAGGCUUGACAU
rnacentral:rRNA from 1 species